rnacentral:snRNA from 1 species
AUCGCUUCUCGGCCUUUUGGCUAAGAUCAAGUGUAGUAUCUACAAUGUGUAUAUACUCUGAAACAUCAUGUUGGGGCAGUAAUAAAUGCAAUGUUUUAUGUCAAAUUAAAAAGAAGAAAAAAAGUAACUGCAUCUGUAAUGUUCAUAAUCAUUACUGAAUUUCC